AGAGUUUGAUCCUGGCUCAGGACGAACGCUGGCGGCGUGCCUAAUACAUGCAAGUAGAACGCUGAAGGAGGAGCUUGCUUCUCCGGAUGAGUUGCGAACGGGUGAGUAACGCGUAGGUAACCUGCCUGGUAGCGGGGGAUAACUAUUGGAAACGAUAGCUAAUACCGCAUAAGAGUAGAUGUUGCAUGACAUUUGCUUAAAAGGUGCAAUUGCAUCACUACCAGAUGGACCUGCGUUGUAUUAGCUAGUUGGUGGGGUAACGGCUCACCAAGGCGACGAUACAUAGCCGACCUGAGAGGGUGAUCGGCCACACUGGGACUGAGACACGGCCCAGACUCCUACGGGAGGCAGCAGUAGGGAAUCUUCGGCAAUGGACGGAAGUCUGACCGAGCAACGCCGCGUGAGUGAAGAAGGUUUUCGGAUCGUAAAGCUCUGUUGUAAGAGAAGAACGAGUGUGAGAGUGGAAAGUUCACACUGUGACGGUAUCUUACCAGAAAGGGACGGCUAACUACGUGCCAGCAGCCGCGGUAAUACGUAGGUCCCGAGCGUUGUCCGGAUUUAUUGGGCGUAAAGCGAGCGCAGGCGGUUAGAUAAGUCUGAAGUUAAAGGCUGUGGCUUAACCAUAGUACGCUUUGGAAACUGUUUAACUUGAGUGCAAGAGGGGAGAGUGGAAUUCCAUGUGUAGCGGUGAAAUGCGUAGAUAUAUGGAGGAACACCGGUGGCGAAAGCGGCUCUCUGGCUUGUAACUGACGCUGAGGCUCGAAAGCGUGGGGAGCAAACAGGAGUAGAUACCCUGGUAGUCCACGCCGUAAACG
rnacentral:rRNA from 1 species